rnacentral:rRNA from 1 species
AUUACCAUGCAAGUCGAGCGGAGAGAGGUAGCUUGCUACUGAUCUUAGCGGCGGACGGGUGAGUAAUGCUUAGGAAUCUGCCUAUUAGUGGGGGACAACAUUUCGAAAGGAAUGCUAAUACCGCAUACGUCCUACGGGAGAAAGCAGGGGAUCUUCGGACCUUGCGCUAAUAGAUGAGCCUAAGUCGGAUUAGCUAGUUGGUGGGGUAAAGGCCUACCAAGGCGACGAUCUGUAGCGGGUCUGAGAGGAUGAUCCGCCACACUGGGACUGAGACACGGCCCAGACUCCUACGGGAGGCAGCAGUGGGGAAUAUUGGACAAUGGGCGCAAGCCUGAUCCAGCCAUGCCGCGUGUGUGAAGAAGGCCUUAUGGUUGUAAAGCACUUUAAGCGAGGAGGAGGCUACUUUAGAUAAUACCUAGAGAUAGUGGACGUUACUCGCAGAAUAAGCACCGGCUAACUCUGUGCCAGCAGCCGCGGUAAUACAGAGGGUGCAAGCGUUAAUCGGAUUUACUGGGCGUAAAGCGCGCGUAGGCGGCUAAUUAAGUCAAAUGUGAAAUCCCCGAGCUUAACUUGGGAAUUGCAUUCGAUACUGGUUAGCUAGAGUGUGGGAGAGGAUGGUAGAAUUCCAGGUGUAGCGGUGAAAUGCGUAGAGAUCUGGAGGAAUACCGAUGGCGAAGGCAGCCAUCUGGCCUAACACUGACGCUGAGGUGCGAAAGCAUGGGGAGCAAACAGGAUUAGAUACCU